rnacentral:rRNA from 1 species
UACGGGGGGGAGCAAGCGUUGUUCGGAUUUACUGGGCGUAAAGGGCGCGUAGGCGGCCCGGUAAGUCCGCUGUAAAAAGUCAAAGGCUCAACCUUUGAAUGUCAGUGGAUACUGCCGGGCUAGAGUCCGGAAGAGGCGAGUGGAACUCCUGGUGUAGCGGUGGAAUGCGCAGAUAUCAGGAAGAACACCAACGGCGAAGGCAGCUCGCUAGGACGGUACUGACGCUGAGACGCGAAAGCGUGGGGAGCGAACAGG